AUUGAACGCUGGCGGCAGGCCUAACACAUGCAAGUCGAGCGGAGCAGCGGACGGGUGAGUAAUGCCUAUGUAUCCGCCUGGCAGCGGGAGAUAAGGUCCGGAAACGGGCGCUACUACCGCAUACUUUCAGUCAAGACUAGCUCGGUUUAGCUAGUUGGUGGGGUAAAGGCCUACCCAGGCGACGAUCCGUAACUGGUCUGAGAGGAGGAUCAGUCACACUGGAACUGAGACACGGGCCAGACUCCUACGGGGGGCAGCAGUGGGGAAUAUUGGACAAUGGGCGAAAGCCUGAUGCAGCCAUGCCGCGUGUGUGAAGAAGGUCUUCGGAUUGUAAAGCACUUUAAGUUGGGAGGCGUUACCAACAGAAUAAGCACCGGCUAACUUCGUGCCAGCAGCCGCGGUAAUUC
rnacentral:rRNA from 1 species